CUGGGAUUCCUGGCAUAGAAGAAGGACUGUGGUUGCUUGUGGCAGAUCCUCCUUCACCCUUCCAGGGCUCUCGGCCCUUCCACAGCUGCACCCAGAAGCCUGAACUGGCAAAUGGACUCAGGGCUUGGUCAUCUCAACUGCUGCAGUGACAGUCGCCUCUGGCAAGAUGCUGAUUUGGGCCAAUGUCGCAGGCCCAGAGUCUCUGCCUCCUGCCAGCUCUUCUGGGCAUGAAUGAACAUCACACCACAGAGUGUGGGCUCUGGCAUCCCCCGGGCAAGGGCCAUUUCAUACAACUUGGAGAUUGGCCAGGGAGGCUGGAGAUAGGGGGCAGAAGAAUGAAUACACUGUGCUCCAGGAUAGCACCUUUGCCAGUCAGUUUUUAUAUAAGGAUCAGGUGAGAAUAAUAAAGGUCAGAGAAACAUACGUGAGUGUGCACAGCUGUGAGCAGGGACCAGAUUUCUAACCUACGUCUACUAGCAUCAAAGCCCUGGCUUCCCC
rnacentral:lncRNA from 1 species